rnacentral:lncRNA from 1 species
CGAGGUUGUGAAGAAGAAAGACAUGGCGGAAGAGCACAGAUGCCAAGCACCUGAAGGUCACCGUCUCUGCGCCAAUAACUGCGGAUUCUUCGGUAGCCCAGCUACUAUGGAUCUCUGCUCCAAAUGUUAUAGAGAUUUCCGUCUUAAAGAACAAGAACAAGCCUCCACAAAAUCAACCAUCGAAGCCGCUCUCUCAGCCUCAUCAUCUCCUUCUCCUUCCUCUUCCCC